rnacentral:rRNA from 1 species
CCUACGGGAGGCUGCAGUGAGGAAUAUUGGUCAAUGGACGAGAGUCUGAACCAGCCAAGUAGCGUGAAGGAUGACUGCCCUAUGUGUUGUAAACUUCUUUUAUAUGGGAAUAAAAUGUUCCACGUGUGGGAUGUUGUAUGUACCAUAUGACUAAGGAUCGGCUAACUCCGUGCCAGCAGCCGCGGUAAUACGGAGGAUCCGAGCGUUAUCCGGAUUUAUUGGGUUUAAAGGGAGCGUAGGUGGAUUGUUAAGUCAGUUGUGAAAGUUUGCGGCUCAACCGUAAAAUUGCAGUUGAAACUGGCAGUCUUGAGUACAGUAGAGGUGGGCGGAAUUCGUGGUGUAGCGGUGAAAUGCUUAGAUAUCACGAAGAACUCCGAUUGCGAAGGCAGCUCACUGGACUGCAACUGACACUGAGGCUCGAAAGUGUGGGUAUCAAACAGGAUUAGAUACCCUAGUAGUC